AGUGAGCGCUGGCGGUAGGCCUAACACAUGCAAGUCGAACGGCAGCACAGUAAGAGCUUGCUCUUACGGGUGGCGAGUGGCGGACGGGUGAGGAAUACAUCGGAAUCUACUUUUUCGUGGGGGAUAACGUAGGGAAACUUACGCUAAUACCGCAUACGACCUACGGGUGAAAGCAGGGGAUCUUCGGACCUUGCGCGAUUGAAUGAGCCGAUGUUGGAUUAGCUAGUUGGCGGGGUAAAGGCCCACCAAGGCGACGAUCCGUAGCUGGUCUGAGAGGAUGGGACACCACAUUGGAACGUGAACGAGGGUCAGACGCCUAAGGGAGGGCACAGUGGGGAAAUGUUGGCAAUGGGCGCAAGCCUGAUCCAGCCAUACCGCGUGGGUGAAGAAGGCCUUCGGGUUGUAAAGCCCUUUUGUUGGGAAAGAAAAGCAGCAGGUUAAUACCCCGCUGUUCUGACGGUACCCAAAGAAUAAGCACCGGCUAACUUCGUG
rnacentral:rRNA from 1 species